AAAAUAAAUACAAUAUUUCCGAAUUUUUCAUUCGAACAUCAUGAAUUAUGAAAUACUGUAAUAUUUGUUAUUCUGAAUUAACAAAAUUUAUAUCAACACAAUCUACGAGUCACAGAAGUUUAUUUGUAAAAUUUUAAACAUUUAAAAGAAAAAAUAUGUAUAUUUAUUUAUUUAAAAAAAUUUCUUUUUUUUAUUCAUAACAAAUCUAAUUUUAGUAAUACUCGUAAUAAUAUUCGUAACGAAAAAAAAAUUCCAGAAAAUAUAUGAAAAGGAGAACUAUUCUAAUCUAUUCUAAUUUAAUAUGCGUUAAUAAUUUAUCAUUGCAUAUGCUCAAUGUUUACAUAAUAUUUAAGAAUGUUUUAAAUAUUAGCUAUUUUUAUUUAUAAACAUAUAUUAUAUUACAAUCAAUAUGAAUUAAUAUGAAUUCAUUAAUUAAUUUAUAUAUUAAAAUUGCUAUGAGUGUAAUCAUAUCUUUUCAUCAUGAUCUUAAAAUUAAAUAUUAUAAAAUAAAAUAAAAAAAUAAAAAAACUUUAUUUUGCAAUUGGAAAAUCAAUACCAUUAAAUUUCUUUGGAAACCCAUAUAACAGUAUAAUACAUCAUCAAUAUUAUUACUAAAAAAUUCAAAAGUUUUAUAUUUAUGGUUAUUAUUGUCACUGCGAUAGUGAUAUUUGUUGGUAUUACUGCAUCACUAGGUUUUCCUGUUGCUGCGUGGUUGGGACGAUGGUUGUGUGUAGCAAAGAAUGCAAAUAACGAUGACCAUGCGCGUGUGUAGUAGUGGUGAGAUGGCGGAGGAGGAAGAGCGAUUGGAAUGCAGCCGAGUGAGGAAUUCCGGCCCCUCCCGCAUAUUUAUCUGAACGCUGCUCACCGGUUUGCAGGGCCCCGCUCCGAGCGAAGGGCCUCUUUUAUAGUACGGCAACUACUCUUCGUCGCUCAUACCAACGGAGAAACGAAAAAAGGAUAGAUAGCUGCAACCGCACGAAGUAUCGGGCCACUAUGCGUACAGAUCUAUUCAGGAAUGCCCACGGUGUUUUGUAAUUGGGCGCAUGCGUGGCAUUUUCUCCUAAAUAUGCAACCGCGGUAAAUUUCGAAGCUAGUAGAGAGGAAAAAGAAUCAGCAAUAAGCAGACUGAUGACGGAGAAAAGCAUUUCUUCGACCGGACAGCUGUUGCCGAACAAAGGCCGAAGGAUACAAAAGAGGAAUUUCUUGGGCCGCACGUGGCUCCCGAGAGAAAGAGAGAAGGGAAGGGAAAAGAAAAAGAAGGAUUCACAGCUAAUGCAAGGGGCUGACUAUAUACACGUGACCCGCUGCACCCUUUUGGGCAUUCCUCUCCUUCCGUCAAUUUCCUCUUUUCUUAAUUUCAAUCAUCUUUCAUUUUUCUUCUGUGACUAUUUUUUCUUUCUCUUUUUUAUUAAUCUUAAUGAAACUUUUAUAAGAUUAAUAAAAUCUAUAUCUAUCGUAUCUAUCGUAAUUUGAAGAAUUAUCUAGCAGAAAAAAUACGAAAGAAUACAAAUAUGAUUAUUCUUGUUUAAUAAAAUCAUGCUUGAUAAAAACAUAAA